GACGAACGCUGGCGGCGUGCCUAAUACAUGCAAGUUGAGCGAUGAAGAUUGGUGCUUGCACCAAUUUGAAGAGCAGCGCACGGGUGAGUAACGCGUGGGGAAUCUGCCUUUGAGCGGGGGACAACAUUUGGAAACGAAUGCUAAUACCGCAUAACAACUUUAAACAUAAGUUUUAAGUUUGAAAGAUGCAAUUGCAUCACUCAAAGAUGAUCCCGCGUUGUAUUAGCUAGUUGGUGAGGUAAAGGCUCACCAAGGCGAUGAUACAUAGCCGACCUGAGAGGGUGAUCGGCCACAUUGGGACUGAGACACGGCCCAAACGCCUACGGGAGGCAGCAGUAGGGAAUCUUCGGCAAUGGACGAAAGUCUGGCCGAGCAACGCCGCGUGAGUGAAGAAGGUUGUCGGAUCGUAAAACUCGGUUGGUAGAGAACAACGUUGGUGAGAGUGGAAAGCUCAUCAAGUGACGGUAACUACCCAGAAAGGGACGGCUAACUACGUG
rnacentral:rRNA from 1 species